UACGGAGGAUGCAAGCGUUAUCGGGAUUUAUUGGGUUUAAAGGGUGCGCAGGUUGUUUGAUAAGUCAGUGGUGAAAGUCUGUCGCUUAACGGUAGGAUUGCCAUUGAUACUGUUAGACUUGAAUAUGGAUGAGGUAGGCGGAAUGUGUAGUGUAGCGGUGAAAUGCAUAGAUAUUACACAGAACACCGAUUGCGAAGGCAGCUUACUAAUCCAUCAUUGACGCUGAGGCACGAAAGCGUGGGGAUCAAACA
rnacentral:rRNA from 1 species